rnacentral:lncRNA from 1 species
AGGAACUUGACGUUUACCGACAUCGAACAAUGAUGUUUACCGACACCAAAGAAAGGACACACGACCAGACAUUUACCGAUGACUGGGAAGGAACUCGACGUUUACCGACAUCGAACAAUGAUGUUUACCGACACCAAAGAAAGGACACACGACCAGACAUUUACCGAUGACUGGGAAGGAACUCAACGUUUACCGACAUCGAACAAUGAUGUUUACCGACACCAAAGAAAACAGACAUCACGGGGAUCGA